rnacentral:lncRNA from 1 species
AUUUUUGGGGGUACAGGUUCACACGCGAGCGGCGCGGCGGCGCGAGGAAAGGGCGUAGCUCCGUAGUUAGCGCCCUACCACAGAGACCAGAUAGCAGCACCCUGAAUCGGCUUCUUAGGGGUAAAGAAAAGAAAAUAAAAGAAUCGAUGUUGUAAUAUUAUGUUUAGAAAUCGAUUGUAUAUUUGGAAGUUGAGGAUCAAUGUAAUGAAAAAUGCGAUGUAAAUGAUGAGAUGAAUGAUUGUAAUAACAUAGGAUGUGUUAUGUUGUUUGAUA